AUUGAACGCUGGCGGCAGGCCUAACACAUGCAAGUCGAGCGGAUGACGGGAGCUUGCUCCUGGAUUCAGCGGCGGACGGGUGAGUAAUGCCUAGGAAUCUGUUUGGUAGUGGGGGACAACGAUUCGAAAGGAACGCUAAUACCGCAUACGUCCUACGGGAGAAAGCCGGGGACCUUCGGGCCUCGCGCUAUCAGAUGAGCCUAGGUCGGAUUAGCUUGUUGGUGAGGUAAUGGCUCACCAAGGCGACGAUCCGUAACUGGUCUGAGAGGAUGAUCAGUCACACUGGAACUGAGACACGGUCCAGACUCCUACGGGAGGCAGCAGUGGGGAAUAUUGGACAAUGGGCGAAAGCCUGAUCCAGCCAUGCCGCGUGUGUGAAGAAGGUCUUCGGAUUGUAAAGCACUUUAAGUUGGGAGGAAGGGUUGUAGAUUAAUACUCUGCAAUUUUGACGUUACCGACAGAAUAAGCACCGGCUAACUCUGUGCCAGCCGCCGCAGUAAGAC
rnacentral:rRNA from 1 species